GGCUGCAAGGGAAACAGGUGCUCUCAAGGAAGCCAAGGACAAGCUCGAAAAGAAAGUGGAAGAACUUACAUGGCGGUUGCAAUUUGAGAAACGACUCAGGGCUGAGUUGGAGGAGACUAAAGCCCAAGAAGUUGGAAAGCUACAGGAGGCACUGCAUGCAAUGCAAAAGCAAGUAGAAGAAGCAAAUGCUAAAGUGGUCCAAGAGCGGGAGGCAGCACGGAGAGCAAUUGAAGAGGCACCUCCAGUCAUCAAGGAGACCCCAGUUAUAGUUCAAGACACAGAAAAAAUAAAUACCCUGUCAGCUGAAGUAGAGAAUUUGAAGGCUUUGCUGGCAUCCGAAAAGAAAGCUACAGAAGAGGCUAGAGAUUCUUCCAGGGAUGCAGAGGCCAAACACACAGAGCUGGCUAGCAAACUAGAAACUGCCGAGCGAAAAGUAGAUCAGCUUCAAGAUUCUGUGCAGAGGCUUGAAGAGAAGCUUUCCAAUAUGGAAUCAGAGAACCAAGUGCUUCGUCAACAAGCUUUGACCAUGUCACCAACUGGAAAAGCGCUAUCUACACGGCCAAAGACUACCAUCAUACAGAGGACUCCGGAGAAUGGAAAUGUUAUAAACGGAGAAUCAAAACCUAAUUCUGAUAUGAGUCUUGUUGUAGCAAGUCCAAAGGAGCCUUCAUCUGAAGAGAAACCACAGAAGUCUCUAAAUGAAAAGCAGCAGGAG
rnacentral:misc_RNA from 1 species